rnacentral:rRNA from 1 species
AGAGAGAGACAUGCGUGCAUAUCAAUAAGCGGAGGAAAAGAAACUAACUAGGAUUCCCUCAGUAACGGCGAGUGAAGCGGGAAGAGCUCAAAUUUGAAAUCUUAAAGGUUCUACCUUGACGAAUUGUAGUUUAAAGAAGUGUUUUCUGUUGAGGUUUUGGUAAAAGUUCUUUGGAAUAGGACAUCAUAGAGGGUGAGAAUCCCGUAUUUGACCAUUACUUUCAGCUUUGUGAUACACUUUCAAAGAGUCGGAUUGUUUGGGAAUGCAGUCCAAAAUGGGUGGUAAAUUUCAUCUAAAGCUAAAUAUUGGCGAGAGACCGAUAGCGAACAAGUACCGUGAGGGAAAGAUGAAAAGAACUUUGAAAAGAGAGUUAAACAGUACGUGAAAUUGUCAAAAGGGAAGCGUUUGACACCAGUGUUGUUUUUCUGAAAAUCAAUUAAAGAACUGUUUAUGCUAAGUUGUUUAGACUUUAUCAGCUAAUCUGUUUAGUUUUGAGCUUUUCUUUAAUGCACUUUUCAGUUAACAAGUCAACAUCAAUUUCUUUUGCUGUAGAAAAGCUUGAGGAAGGUGGCUUGAGAUUCGUCUUAAGUGUUUAUAGCCUCUUGCCUAUGCAGUCGGAGAGAUUGAGGUCUGCAGCGUAGAUCCUUCGGGGCUAAAUGCAUUUGUGCUAAGUUAUAGCAUUUUAUAGACAACUUGUUGACUAUGAUUUGUCUUGUAGCUUACUCGCUUAUGUUAUUUUACCUACGCUUAGGAUGUUGAUGUGAUACUGCGAGCA